CCUACGGGUGGCAGCAGUCGAGAAUCAUUCACAAUGGGGGAAACCCUGAUGGUGCGACGCCGCGUGGGGGAAUGAAGGUCUUCGGAUUGUAAACCCCUGUCAUGUGGGAGCAAAUUAAAAAGAUAGUACCACAAGAGGAAGAGACGGCUAACCCUGUGCCAGCAGACGCGGUAAUACAGAGGUCUCGAGCGUUGUUCGGAAUCACUGGGCGUAAAGCGUGCGUAGGCUGUUUCGUAAGUCGUGUGUGAAAGGCGGGGGCUCAACCCGCGGACGGCACAGGAUACUGAGAGACUAGAGUAAUGGAGGGGUAACCGGAAUUCUCGGUGUAGCAGUGAAAUGCGUAGAUA
rnacentral:rRNA from 1 species